AUCGCUUCUUGGCCUUUUGGCUAAGAUCAAGUGUAGUGGAGAAUUCUAAGAAUGCAUUAAUUUGCUGAUUUCAAGUUGAGCAGCUUUAUUUAUUAGCUGCAACCUUU
ensembl:snRNA U2 U2 spliceosomal RNA